AUUGAACGCUGGCGGCAGGCCUAACACAUGCAAGUCGAGCGGAUGAAGGGAGCUUGCUCCUGGAUUCAGCGGCGGACGGGUGAGUAAUGCCUAGGAAUCUGCCUGGUAGUGGGGGAUAACGUCCGGAAACGGGCGCUAAUACCGCAUACGUCCUGAGGGAGAAAGUGGGGGAUCUUCGGACCUCACGCUAUCAGAUGAGCCUAGGUCGGAUUAGCUAGUUGGUGGGGUAAAGGCCUACCAAGGCGACGAUCCGUAACUGGUCUGAGAGGAUGAUCAGUCACACUGGAACUGAGACACGGUCCAGACUCCUACGGGAGGCAGCAGUGGGGAAUAUUGGACAAUGGGCGAAAGCCUGAUCCAGCCAUGCCGCGUGUGUGAAGAAGGUCUUCGGAUUGUAAAGCACUUUAAGUUGGGAGGAAGGGCAGUAAGUUAAUACCUUGCUGUUUUGACGUUACCAACAGAAUAAGCACCGGCUUACUUCGUG
rnacentral:rRNA from 1 species